UACGUAGGGUGCGAGCGUUGUCCGGAAUUAUUGGGCGUAAAGGGCUCGUGGGCGGUUUGUCGCGUCGGGAGUGAAAACCUCGGGCUUAACUCGGGGCUUGCUUUCGAUACGGGCAGACUGGAGGUAUGCAGGGGAGAACGGAAUUCCUGGUGUAGCGGUGAAAUGCGCAGAUAUCAGGAGGAACACCGGUGGCGAAGGCGGUUCUCUGGGCAUGACCUGACGCUGAGGAGCGAAAGUGUGGGGAGCGAACAGG
rnacentral:rRNA from 1 species